CUUUAUUCAACUUAUCCUUAAUGUUAUGCUGGAAAAGUAAUAUUCAACAAAAUAAUGUCAAGGAUGGUGCAUUGCUGCUUUCUUGAUGAUACUUGGCAGCAUACUAAUAUCAAUCAGCAAAAUAAGUACAAAAUUUUAUCAUGUAAUUAAUGUAUUUCAGUAUGGAAUUUUUGUACAAAUCAAAUUCUUGUGUUUAUAUAUGAUGUUGAGUGAUCCUAUAAAGCGAAGGGAAAAUCAAUAUUUUCGAAGCUACAUCAUUGUGAAUUUAAAUUGAAAUCAUAAAGAUCAUGUGCAGAUGUUGAGGAAGAGGCUGUGAUGGAGAAUGAAGUUGAAACCUGGUUUUCCAUAUGUUUAUGAUGGUCUUUCCUUGCCUUGAAACUCAUAUAUGACUCUUCAUUGAUUUCAUAUAAAUCAUUGGCAGAAGCAGCGGAAUAAUCAUGCUCAGACCCAACUGAUGUUGAAUUACACUCUUGACUUCCUCUUUCACUCUGACUUAUCUGUAUUUUAUGCUCUCUUAUGGCUUUAAACCUCAAGUCUUCAUUGUAACUACUUGCUUCAGGGAUCACAUCUGGUAUGCUUCGUGUUCCCUCUAGCAUGCUUACCACUUCAGACAUUGUUGGCCUUAGUGAAGGCGAAGCAUUUGUGCAUAAGAGAGCAGCUUUAAUCAUCCUUUCUGCUUCUACCUCCUUGAAAUCAGAUCCACGUUUCUCAUCCACAAGCUCCAUCAGGUUUCCACUUUGCUGCAAGUGGCAGGCCCAGUCUAGAAGGCAAGCAAAUUUGUUCUCUGGCCCAUAAUUCAUAUUGUGUUUCCCACCAACAAUUUCCAAUGCUACAAUUCCAAAACUGUAAACAUCUGCUUUUUCGGUCAAGUAACCCCAUAACGCAUAUUCUGGUGCCAUGUACCCACUGCAUAUACGGACAUUAGACAUGAUAAAAUAUGAAAGCCUUAAAAAAAAUUUUUUUUUUUUUUGGUGGGAAGCUUUUAAAACUACACUUUUGCUCGCACAUUGCGCGAGUAUAAUUAUUAUCAAAUAUUAUUUAAUUGAAUGAAAAUAUAGCUAUAUUGUGUUUCCUAUUUUUAUAUUUAAUUUAUUAAAAUGUUCUUCGAAAUGUUUGUAAAAGAAACAAUCAAGAUACGAAGAAAAUAAAUACAAAGAAUAAAUAAUAAUUGAAAAUGAAUAUAAAAAAUAAAAUACCAGUAAACUCUAAUAUAAAUAAAUUAUUAUAAAAUGAAGAUUACCUUGGUGAUAUUUAUGCAAAUUGUUCAUCAUCUUCUUCAAAUGCCUCAGUCACUAAAAUAUUAUUUGGUAAGUCUAAGAGAAAAUCUUGGUUGUAUACCAUAUAUUCUAUUUGCAUUAGGAGGUGGCUAGUUUAAUUUUGAUUUGUGAUAUUGGUUUAUAUAGUUUAUGACUAUAACUUUUAAUUUUCCUAGAAUUAAUUUAAUUAUCAAUAUUGUCAUAAUUUUUUUUUAAUUAUAUGAAAUUAAGUACAUGAUUUUCUAAUUAUAGUGAACAAUGAAAAGGUGGCUUAUCUUUUAAUUCCACAGCAAUAAAGAGGCAUUUUAUUACUGUAACAUAAUAUGGAAUUUGAAUGGCAUGGGAAGACCAGAAGGAGAAGCAUGCCACUUAGCGAAAAAAUAGGAUGAACACUUCGCAAUAUUGUGUUACCUAUUUCAAAGCUUGGCUUUAUAAUAUUUACAUAGACAUAGAUAUAUAGAUUAUUAAGGAAAGUGGUUACUGACAUAGUUCCAGCAAUCCGAGUGCUG
rnacentral:misc_RNA from 1 species